rnacentral:rRNA from 1 species
AUUGAACGCUGGCGGCAGGCUUAACACAUGCAAGUCGAGCGGGGUGAUGGUGCUUGCACUAUCACUUAGCGGCGGACGGGUGAGUAAUGCUUAGGAAUCUGCCUAUUAGUGGGGGACAACAUCUCGAAAGGGAUGCUAAUACCGCAUACGUCCUACGGGAGAAAGCAGGGGAUCACUUGUGACCUUGCGCUAAUAGAUGAGCCUAAGUCGGAUUAGCUAGUUGGUGGGGUAAAGGCCUACCAAGGCGACGAUCUGUAGCGGGUCUGAGAGGAUGAUCCGCCACACUGGGACUGGGAGACGGCCCAGACUCCUACGGGAGGCAGCAGUGGGGAAUAUUGGACAAUGGGGGGAACCCUGAUCCAGCCAUGCCGCGUGUGUGAAGAAGGCCUUAUGGUUGUAAAGCACUUUAAGCGAGGAGGAGGCUCUUUUGGUUAAUACCCAAGAUGAGUGGACGUUACUCGCAGAAUAAGCACCGGCUAACUCUGUGCCAGCAGCCGCGGUAA